UACGGAGGGAGCUAGCGUUGUUCGGAAUUACUGGGCGUAAAGCGCACGUAGGCGGCUUUGUAAGUUAGAGGUGAAAGCCCGGAGCUCAACUCCGGAAUUGCCUUUAAGACUGCAUCGCUUGAAUCCAGGAGAGGUCAGUGGAAUUCCGAGUGUAGAGGUGAAAUUCGUAGAUAUUCGGAAGAACACCAGUGGCGAAGGCGACUGACUGGACAUGUAUUGACGCUGAGGUGCGAAAGCGUGGGGAGCAAACAGG
rnacentral:rRNA from 1 species